UUGGAGGGCAAGUCUGGUGCCAGCAGCCGCGGUAAUUCCAGCUCCAAUAGCGUAUAUUAAAGUUGUUGCAGUUAAAAAGCUCGUAGUUGAAUUCCGGGAUCAGUACGUUGGUCGUGCCUUAGGUACGUACUGGUGUUACUGGUUUCUACCUUCUGACGAACCAUCAUGUCAUUAAUUUGGUGUGGCGGGGAAUCAGGACUGUUACUUUGAAAAAAUUAGAGUGUUUAAAGCAGGCUCGCGCUUGAAUACAUUAGCAUGGAAUAAUGAAAUAGGACGUUGAUCCUAUUUUGUUGGUUUCUAGGAUUGACGUAAUGAUUAAUAGGGAUAGUUGGGGGCAUUAGUAUUCAAUUGUCAGAGGUGAAAUUCUUGGAUUUAUUGAAGACUAACUACUGCGAAAGCAUUUGCCAAGGAUGUUUUCAUUAAUCAAGAACGAAAGUUAGGGGAUCGAAGACGAUCAGAUACCGUCGUAGUCUUAACCAUAAACUAUGCCGACUAGGGAUCGGAUGAUGUUAAUUUUUUAAUGACUCAUUCGGCGCCUUACGGGAAAC
rnacentral:rRNA from 1 species